AAGUAAAUUUUCUAAGUGUCUGAUGAUGAAUUUCAUAGGGCAGAUUCUGAGGUGAAAAUUGUAUUCAUCAUUGAUAGUCCUAUUAUGAAUCUGAAGACACUUGGAAACCG
rnacentral:snoRNA from 1 species